GAUGAAGCCCAGCUUGCUGGGUGGAUUAGUGGCGAACGGGUGAGUAACACGUGAGUAACCUGCCCUUAACUCUGGGAUAAGCCUGGGAAACUGGGUCUAAUACCGGAUAGGAGCGUCCACCGCAUGGUGGGUGUUGGAAAGAUUUAUCGGUUUUGGAUGGACUCGCGGCCUAUCAGCUUGUUGGUGAGGUAAUGGCUCACCAAGGCGACGACGGGUAGCCGGCCUGAGAGGGUGACCGGCCACACUGGGACUGAGACACGGCCCAGACUCCUACGGGAGGCAGCAGUGGGGAAUAUUGCACAAUGGGCGAAAGCCUGAUGCAGCGACGCCGCGUGAGGGAUGACGGCCUUCGGGUUGUAAACCUCUUUCAGUAGGGAAGAAGCGAAAGUGACGGUACCUGCAGAAGAAGCACCGGCUAACUACGUGCCAGCAGCCGCGGUAAUACGUAGGGUGCGAGCGUUAUCCGGAAUUAUUGGGCGUAAAGAGCUCGUAGGCGGUUUGUCGCGUCUGUCGUGAAAGUCCGGGGCUUAACCCCGGAUCUGCGGUGGGUACGGGCAGACUAGAGUGCAGUAGGGGAGACUGGAAUUCCUGGUGUAGCGGUGGAAUGCGCAGAUAUCAGGAGGAACACCGAUGGCGAAGGCAGGUCUCUGGGCUGUAACUGACGCUGAGGAGCGAAAGCAUGGGGAGCGAACAGGAUUAGAUACCCUGGUAGUCCAUGCCGUAAACGUUGGGCACUAGGUGUGGGGACCAUUCCACGGUUUCCGCGCCGCAG
rnacentral:rRNA from 1 species